rnacentral:lncRNA from 1 species
GCUGCUGCUGGCCGUGGGUCUGGUGCUGAAGACCCGGCGUGUGUUCUCUCGGGGCAGAAACGCACGUUACACGGUAGGGGGAGGGCUCCACGGGCUCAUCAAGCUGCGGGGAGCAGGGGCCGGCAGGACGCCCGUCUCCGGCACACCAGAGAGAAGCCCUGAGCCUCCUACGGCCCGCGUGCCCCUGACACAGCACUGGGCAAGCCGCAGCCUUUGCUCUAUCAGUCGAAUCCACCAAAAUACCCAGCUAGCUUCCAGCGCCAGGGAUUGCAGGUGCCUUGUCAUCCCACACUUGGCAAUCCAAGCUGUUUUUGGAAACAACAGUCAGUUCCAUGGCGAAAAUGGGGCGUCUCGGACACGAGGACCAGCCGGGCGCGAGGAAGAAGCCGGGACCGAACCGUUUGUCGUGAGCUCUUUAAGCAACGUUCUUCGUCCUGCAGGAGCCAGCUCUGGACUUCCGCCCCACCCUCCCUCAGAGGCGCUCUGGGGGAGGAAGAGGAGCAGAACGGCGAACAAGGAAGCCCCCUCCCCGCCGUCUCUGAACUGCAGCGGCCGAGCAAGAGCCCCAACCCCGCCUGGCUGGGAGGCCUGCCGUCCACCGGGGCCUCGGUCUCCCUGCUGUCCCCAGUACUUCCUUCCCGAGCGUGUGGGCCUCGCAGAAGCAAAGCCUCCCCACAGCGCCGGCAGAGGAGCCCAGGACGUCUCCCCACAGCGCCAGCAGAGGAGCCCAGGACGUCUCCCCACAGCGCCAGCAGAGGAGCCCAGGACGCCUCCCCACAGCGCCAGCAGAGGAGCCCAGGACGCCUCCCCACAGCGCCAGCAGAGGAGCCCAGGACGCCUCCCCACAGCGCCAGCAGAGGAGCCCAGGACGCCAUGGUAAGCGUCCCUGGAUCCGGAGUCUCACUGGGUCCCAGAGCCCCAGCCGCCCCAGGCCCCCGCGGGAGCCCUGCGCUAUUCUAAGACGGUCAGCAGGCAUUUGGCAGCUUUUCACCACACCUUUCCAUCCGGCACUUAGUUUGUUAAUGAGCAAAGCAGCCCUGAUAAGAUGGAGCUACAGGAACUCAACGCAGUAGCACACACAUCCACACAUGUGUGCGCACACCGUCACCUAUGUGCUCAUAGUGCACAUGCAUGUGCACACACAUGUACUCACACUCAAAAUACACAGGUGUGUGCAUGUGUGUGCAGGUACGUGUGUGUGCACGCCUGGCGAGACAGCACAUGUGGUUAGGAGUGCUCUCUGUGGUCUUUAAAGGCGAGGGAGGCCC